rnacentral:lncRNA from 1 species
UUGGUCAACAGCACGUAUAGCACACUGUAGAGUCUGAGAGUUUUUCAGUUUGAGGCAUACAGAAACUUCAAGACUUAGCUGGCUCAGUGAAGGAUGCAGGCUGUGAAAUCCACUGGAAAGUGCCAAAAUGAAGCAUGUGUUGUUUGACCUACCUCGAAGAGACAGGGGAUAUCAAGAACAUGUCUGCAUCAUAUGGUGGGGACCUCAGGGAUCUUGAUGGAUGAGCUAUGAGCAGGUGCUGUGAGGACCCUCUAGUACUCUAGUAGCCCCUUACAGGAAUCCCAACCUCCUUGCAGAAGCAGUUUCCUUUGCCCAAGGCUGGGAGCCAUAACUGAGACUUCUGGACCAAAUGAAUAUUUUCCAGGACUCGUUAACUCCCAAUAAUUUCACUGGGACUGUUCACAAUGUAAAGGAGACUGAAUGUGGACCUCUAAAACUGAGACAUACCUUCCAAGUGGGUAAGCAGCUGUGACAACAUUGGUGUCUUUUAAAGAAAUAUCAAGUACAACUUCUCAUCAGAUUGCACAGGUU